UGGGCAGGGCGUUGUUCAAUA
rnacentral:miRNA from 1 species